GACGAACGCUGGCGGCGUGCCUAAUACAUGCAAGUCGAGCGGACGGAUGGGAGCUUGCUCCCAGACCGUCAGCGGCGGACGGGUGAGUAACACGUGGGCAACCUGCCUGUAAGACUGGGAUAACUCCGGGAAACCGGGGCUAAUACCGGAUAACUCUUUCCCUCACAUGAGGGGAAGCUGAAAGAUGGCAUCUCGCUAUCACUUACAGAUGGGCCCGCGGCGCAUUAGCUAGUUGGGGAGGUAACGGCUCACCAAGGCGACGAUGCGUAGCCGACCUGAGAGGGUGAUCGGCCACACUGGGACUGAGACACGGCCCAGACUCCUACGGGAGGCAGCAGUAGGGAAUCUUCCGCAAUGGACGAAAGUCUGACGGAGCAACGCCGCGUGAGUGAUGAAGGUUUUCGGAUCGUAAAACUCUGUUGUCAGGGAAGAACAAGUACCGGAGUAACUGCCGGUACCUUGACGGUACCUGACCAGAAAGCCACGGCUAACUACGUG
rnacentral:rRNA from 1 species